UACGUAGGCAGCGAGCGUUGUUCGGAGUUACUGGGCGUAAAGGGUGUGUAGGCGGUCCUCUAAGUUUGGUGUGAAACCUCCAGGCUCAACCUGGAGUCGCCAUCCGAUACUGUCAUGGCUAGAGUCCGGUAGGGGCCCACGGAAUUCCUGGUGUAGCGGUGAAAUGCGCAGAUAUCAGGAGGAACACCGGUGGCGAAGGCGGUGGGCUGGGCCGGCACUGACGCUGAGGAGCGAAAGCGUGGGGAGCGAACAGG
rnacentral:rRNA from 1 species